AGUCCUUUCUUACGUAUUUGCUCAAGUGAGAUGAAAACAUAUAUUCACACAAAACCUAGCGGUACCUGAGCGUUUGUGGAGGCUUUAUCCAUAACUGCCAACGACUGGAAACACCUCAAGCGUCUUUCGCCUGGUGGGUACAGGGAGACGUCUCCAGAAUCAGAUGCCACCUGCAAGAAGAGGAACACACUCCCUAAGCGCCCCGUUGAUGAAUUUCAAAUGCAUAAUUUUAGGAAAAAGAAACCAGAUUUAAAAAGCUACCAAGUCCAUGAUUCCGUUUACAGGACAUUCUCUAAAAGGUGACACCAGAGGGACAGACUGAUCAGGGCCUGCGGGAGCUGCAGAGGGUUGGGGGGUUGGUCUGGCCGCCGGGGCACCCCACAGGGAUUCCUCAGGGCCUCCAGGGGCAGCAGGGCCCUGAGACACCCUGGUCAGCCCGGGCUGCUUCUGCCCCCGAGGGCUUUAAGAGGGUAAUUUGUGUUGUUUUAAGUCACCACGUUGGUGGUGAUUUGUUUCUGUGGCAGCUGAAGAGGAAAGCCCCGUCCACAGGGCUCGUACUGCAGCCGCACCAAGGGCCUGGGGCCGCCUCAGGAAUGAGGGGAGCUCUCCCAGAAGCCUGGAGCACCCGACUCCUGACACCUCGUGGCCACCAUCGUGUCAUGGUCAUUCCUAAACCAGUUCCUGCCUUUCUCUGACACAGCAUCCUAGACUGGAGAGCUGCAGAUGCCCUUAGAGACAUUAUUGUCCCCAUCUGAUGGACUCUGAGAGCCAGGAGAAGAGGGGGUACGUCGUCCAAGGUCAACACACCAGGGUUCACACUGAGAUCUGUAACGACGCCAAAGUCUUUUCUCUCAAACCUCACGAAGUCCAAAACCGUCCAUUCUACAGAAGGGGAGAGGACACUCGGCUGGAGGAGUGCAGAGGAGGGCACACCGUGCUCGGUUCAUGUGACCCAGGGGUGCCCGAGCAGGUCCGCUCCCCUGGCUCAAGCGGCGCCUGCGAGCUCUCCUGGCCAGUCCAAGGGAUCAGCAUUUACAAAUCAUCAUGUGCCUCAGUUUAAUAAGAGAAAAGGUGUUUUUUGUUUGUUUGAUUUUUGCAAAAUGAGAGCACUUGAUUGUCACAUUUAUCCAACAUCAUUGGGGGAGUAAAAAAUAAAAAAUCACAGUUAGAACAUGAAGAGUGUCUUACAGUUUAUAAAACACUUUCAAAUACUUUGUCCACGUGAUCCUC